GUAGGUGGCAAGCGUUGUCCGGAAUUAUUGGGCGUAAAGCGCGCGCAGGCGGUUCUUUAAGUCUGAUGUGAAAGCCCACGGCUCAACCGUGGAGGGUCAUUGGAAACUGGAGAACUUGAGUACAGAAGAGGAAAGCGGAAUUCCACGUGUAGCGGUGAAAUGCGUAGAGAUGUGGAGGAACACCAGUGGCGAAGGCGGCUUUCUGGUCUGUAACUGACGCUGAGGCGCGAAAGCGUGGGGAGCAAACGGGGGAUUAGAUACCCUGGUAGUCCACGCCGUAAACGAUGAGUGCUAAGUGUUAGGGGUUUCCCGCCCCUUAGUGCUGCAGCUAACGCAUUAAGCACUCCGCCUGGGGAGUACGGCCGCAAGGCUG
rnacentral:rRNA from 1 species